UUUUAGUUUGAAAACCUUUAUGAAGAUUUUUGUUAUAAAAAGUUUUUUACCUUUUAUCAUAUAGUCAAUAAUAAUAAAAAAUUUGCACCGGAUUUGCACAAAUCCAAUACGGCCACCACCAACACAGCUUGAGUAGUAUAUCGGCACGCAAAAACAAGACACUUAUCAGAGAAUGGUUGUUGUGGGUUGGUAAAACAUAGAAAAAUUUUAAAAAUUAAAUCUAGUUAAAUCCACUUAUCGCACAUUUUUGUUAUCAACAACUUCUAAACUAGUAUAAACUUUUGAACUUUUAAACACUUACUGCACACAUCAAAAGUUUAUAUACUGUUAAAGAAUAUGAUAACAUUAAUUUUGUCUUAGAUUGUGUUUCUAUCAGGUACACAACGUUGUAUUAACGUUAAAACACGUUAAUACAAUGUUGUGUGCCUGUUUUGAUAUAGUUGUUAUGAUGCAACUCAUUUAAAAUAAUUUUUUUAUUGUUAUUAUUAUUGUCCAUAAUUUCACUAAAGUAAACUAUUUCAGGUGUGCUUUCAUUUCCAAUCAGGUAAAAUAUUAACUUGUCUGUUGCUUUUUUAACCCCCAAAAAAAGGUGUAGCAAAAAACUUUUUUAGGGGUAUUAAAAAAACAACCUUUUUUUAGUUUAAUUGUUGCUUUGCACAGUUUUUAAUAGUUAUUAUUUUUAGAUAAAUGAUAGUUUAUUUAGUAACCCUUUUAUCAAAUUUUUCAUUUAAACUUCAAAAAUAUUUUGAAGUGUGUAUCUCGGGUAAAACCUCACAUGCUACCUUUGGGUAACUAGCUGAUAUUGUUUGGUAAAAGAAGGUUAAGUUCUGCAAUUUACUAUAUUACGGUGUAAAUUUGGCUAGAGGAAUCUUUAACUUUAAAACAGAUACGAAAGUAAUAUUCAAAUGUUUUUUACUAAGUAGAUGUUUUUACUUAUUAUUUUUUUAAUUUUUUAUUUAUUAAUUAGCUAAAGUAGUUAAUAAAGGCAAGUAAUCUAUUAGAUAGCAUUGUUGUCGAGUUUAAUUGUUAUUUUAUACUCCAUAUCUUUCUAGUUUGCCGAGAAAGAUUUUAUAAUAAAAAAUGUUAAAAGUUUUGAUAAAUAAACAUGCCGAGAGUAUAGAUUUUUGUUAGCCAACCUUUCUAGAGUUUGGCUGGAUCAGUUGCAUUGCAAGAUGGUUUAAUUUUUGUAGCCAACCUUUCUAGAAUUUGGCUGGAUCAGUUGCAUUGCAUGAUGGUUUUUGAAAACCAAAUUGUUAGAGAAAUCAGAACGACUACAUUUGCUACUUUUUAUUGACAAAGAAAAAUGUUGGUUGUUAAUGACAACACCAGUUUGUUAUGAUAUAAAAAAAAGGUUAUUUAGGUGCUCCCAGAAGUCCUUACGGUUACAUCACGGAACACAGCGAGAGAGUAUUUAACUAGAAGUUCACGCCUCCUUCCUUACCAAUGCCGCUUAUUGGGCUAGAACCGGUGUCGAAGCUCAGAAAUCUGGGUUCUAAGCCAAAACUCUAACCACUGCGCCACGGCUGCUCUUUUUAUUUCUGAACAGUCUUUGUGAAUGUCAUAGGAUGCAUUUUUUAUACCAUUUUCAACAACUUUACAUGGAAAGGUUAAUCUAAGAAAGGUUGAUUAUAUGAUUACAUGAUUACAUGAAAAAUUGUAAUAUUGUUUAUUCAGCGAAAUAAAAGUU